GAUGAACGCUAGCGGCAGGCCUAACACAUGCAAGUCGAGGGGCAGCGGGGUGUAGCAAUACACUGCCGGCGACCGGCGCACGGGUGAGUAACGCGUAUCCAACCUGCCCAUGGGUCAGGGGUAAACUCCCGAAAGGGAGCCUAAUACCUGAUGUUGUGAGAAGAAGGCCUCUGAUUUUCACGAAAGACUUCGGUCGCCGAUGGAUGGGGAUGCGUACGAUUAGGCAGCAGGCGGGGUAACGGCCCACCUGGCCAACGAUCGUUAGGGGUUCUGAGAGGAAGGUCCCCCACACUGGUACUGAGACACGGACCAGACUCC
rnacentral:rRNA from 1 species